CACGUAGGCGGACUCUUAAGUCAGGGGUGAAAUCCUGGAGCUCAACUCCAGAACUGCCUUUGAUACUGGGAGCCUUGAGUUCGGGAGAGGUGAGUGGAACUGCGAGUGUAGAGGUGAAAUUCGUAGAUAUUCGCAAGAACACCAGUGGCGAAGGCGGCUCACUGGCCCGAUACUGACGCUGAGGUGCGAAAGCGUGGGGAGCAAACA
rnacentral:rRNA from 1 species